GUGGGGAAUAUUGGACAAUGGGCGCAAGCCUGAUCCAGCCAUGCCGCGUGUGUGAAGAAGGCCUUUUGGUUGUAAAGCACUUUAAGCGAGGAGGAGGCUACCGAGAUUAAUACUCUUGGAUAGUGGACGUUACUCGCAGAAUAAGCACCGGCUAACUCUGUGCCAGCAGCCGCGGUAAUACAGAGGGUGCAAGCGUUAAUCGGAUUUACUGGGCGUAAAGCGCGCGUAGGUGGCCAAUUAAGUCAAAUGUGAAAUCCCCGAGCUUAACUUGGGAAUUGCAUUCGAUACUGGUUGGCUAGAGUAUGGGAGAGGAUGGUAGAAUUCCAGGUGUAGCGGUGAAAUGCGUAGAGAUCUGGAGGAAUACCGAUGGCGAAGGCAGCCAUCUGGCCUAAUACUGACACUGAGGUGCGAAAGCAUGGGGAGCAAACAGGAUUAGAUACCCGGGUAGUCC
rnacentral:rRNA from 1 species